GGAGUGAUGCAGCCUGGGAAUUGUAGUCUUCGUUCCCCUAAAGGUUUGGCCAAACACCUGUAGAAACCCUAGAACGUUGAGGUUUCCCAAGCUGGAGUCUCGCGGUCCCGGCUGUCUUCAGGGGGCGUCCCAGACAGCGAGACUGACUUGGUAGCUCUUAAUAAAAAUCAUCUCCUGGAGCAUCUGUUCCAGGUAUUGAUUACCUAUCGAUUGAAGCCCCAAAUCAUUUUCCCAGCUCCUACCUGAGCUUCCCGAACUAAGAAUUAGCAUCAUCAUCGUCAUCGUCCUCAUCGGUUGUUGUGCUGACCAUCUGAUGUGGAUUAUCUUAUUUGAUCCUCGCGGUAACCUUAUGGAACAUGUGUUGUUCGCACCCCCAUUUUAUAGGUAAGCACGGUGACUAUGGCUCCAUUUUCUCAGCUGCGAAGUCAAGGCAGACAACACCAUGGCCUUGCUAAAUCUCCUUGUUGUGGUGAGGAUCAAAGCAAGACAACAGAAGUGCUCGGUGAACUGUGAAAUCCCAGAACAGAUGCCAGAUUGAUGUUGCCGUUAUUUGAGGAGGAAGCCACUGGAGGAUUCAUGCGGCAAGGGUGUGAUCCGAUGAGUGUCUUGAGAAGAUUGCUCCCCGCCUCUGAGUGGAGCAUGCCCUGGAGGAAGGCAAGCGUGCCAACAGGAAGGCCUUUUCAGAAGCCAUGGCAGGCGUCCAGAGAAGAGAUGACGCUGGCCUGGCUGGAUGCUCACGUUGGAAAGCUGCCUGGAGGGAGACUCCAGCACCAUCUCUCCUUCUCAAGGAGCCCGAAUGUCUGAGGCCGAAGCACACCCACACUCAGAGCUCCAUUGCUCACCUCCCACUGACAGCAAUAGCUGUGAGGUUGGCUUGGAAAAUCAGGGUAGUAUACGGAACUCUCUUAGGGACUGUUGUUUUUUCUGUAGCUUCCUUGCAGGCGUAUGAAUUGGAACAAUUAUGUGCUUUCAUGAUUAUUCAUGGAAAAUGGGGGCAAAGAGGAGCUAAGCAGCUUCUUCGAGGAUAUAAGCAACACCAGGGAGGAAGAUAGAUGGAAGGAGCCACUAGGUAUUUUAUAUUCUGUUGACCAGAGGGCCUUGCAGCCAUUCCUUCCAUGGAGCAGGCGACGCGCUGCAGGUUCGGGCAGCCAGGUGGUGAGGACGCAGGGUUGGCUAUCUACUGCAAACAGAACCAUCUGUGUCUGCAUUAGACGGGGACCCACGCAGACGAAAUCAGAGAGAAGGAGCAGUGCCAUUCAUCAUGAAGUGACUUGAUUGACCAACAGAAUUGAUGGUAGAAUUGAUGUCCUGGGAGUUCUGAAGCAAGGUUAUACCCUUGUUGCGCUGGCUCAUAAAAUCCCCAGUCUCCAGAAGUCCUAACCGGUAGUUCCUAAACUUCAGCCACGGGCCUGGCAACGUGGACAAUACAAAGGAAAAUGACCACUGCCUCAGCGACGGACUUCCAUGGCAUUCCUACUGGGGACUGGGGUCCUGCGACUGCCACUGUUUCUACUUCUCAGGCCUCAAGGAAGGGGACACGGCUCACUGCUCUGAGGCUGGGUCCCAAACGGGUGUCAGCUGCUUCCCUCAGCCACGACAGCAACAUUGGAAUCAGGUUCUAUAUCUUAAGGAGAACUUUCUAUAAGUCUGGGAUUAAUGAAGGAAAUUGUGAAAACUGAGAAUCAUUAAAAACUAU